rnacentral:lncRNA from 1 species
AGAAAGGUCCUUUAACAAUUAAUGUAAAAUUGGCCUUUCAAGCAACUAUAAGAUAGGACGCUGUAUACCACUUGGGGUGCUAAAUCGUAAACAAGAUUUCUCGUCCUACACAUUCAAUCAAGGUUCUCACUGCGAAGAUAUAAUUAACGGGAGACAAAUGGUGCGGGAAUGGAAAGAAUUGAUAGAUGUGGAUGGACGUGCCAGUUUUUGCAUCAAUCUUUUUCAAGUCCUUUGUGUAGUUUUCGGUACCAUUUUCAUCAUAUUAGUAGUUAUCACAACAUGCGCAGAUGGUGCAGUACCGCAAGACAAAGAUGCAGCCACAGAUUCGGGCGUCUAUGGAAGCACUUGCGAAGCCGGCUGUGGUGCAGGUUGUGGUGGAUAACUAGCACCACCCUCGUCCGCCAUCAGUCUCUCCUAAUGAAUCCUCAGAAGAAGAAUUCAUCCAUAUUUACGGAAAAAAGAUAGUGAAAAUCCAAUGAGCCUUUUUGACAUAAUUAACUGUUUAGUUCAUCCAAUAGCUGUUUCAGAUUGUCCCUUUAUAUUAAAUGCAAACAUGCCCUGAAUGUGGUAAGUAAGCAACUUCUGUGGGUUAUUGGCUAAACAUAUCACGGCAAUUUGUGUGGGAAAAUGCUACUCUAGCCAUUCAACAAAUGAGAAAAAAAAUCCAGCAGUGUUACUAUACAAGUGUAAUGUAGUGUCAAACAUGUUAUGGUCCACGUUCUUCAGCGAAUUUAGAGAGAGAUGACGAUGUAUGUAGUGAAAGAAUUUUAGCAAAGUUUAUUUAAGCCAGAGUACUUGUGGUACAGAGUGCUACCUGUUGGAAAAUGACUUGUAAACGGCGCUGCUUUGGAAUAAUUUUGAGUAGGACCGUUCAUUUGUUUUGAAAGAUCAAAGUAGAUUCAUGUUCUCUUCCAUGAUAACAUCGAAAUCAUAUAUUUAAGUCAAUUGCUUCAUAAGUUCCAUCUCGUAUCUCUUCUUUAGCACCUGAAUUGUGGUCAUAAAAUAAUUCUACUGCACCCCAUAAAGAGCUACA